rnacentral:misc_RNA from 1 species
GUAGGUGAACCUGCGGAAGGAUCAUUACACUCAGUAGAUUUCUACUGCUCAGGGAGAGCGGAAAGUUGGUUGGUGCGCUUCGGCGGGCUUGGCAACGAGUACGCUCUAUCUGAACCCUUGUCUUUUUGCGUACUCAUGUUUCCUCGGCGGGCUUGCCCGCCGGCUGGACAAAACUAUAACCUUUUAAAUUUUCAAUCAGCGUCUGAAUAAUUUUAAUAAUUACAACUUUCAACGACGGAUCUCUUGGUUCUG